UACGUAGGCAGCGAGCGUUGUUCGGAGUUACUGGGCGUAAAGGGUGUGUAGGCGGUCCCUUAAGUUUGGUGUGAAAUCCCUCGGCUUAACCGGGGAACUGCAUCUGAUACUGGAUAGCUUGAGUUUGGGAGAGGGACGCGGAAUUCCAGGUGUAGCGGUGAAAUGCGUAGAUAUCUGGAGGAACACCGGUGGCGAAGGCGGCGUCCUGGACCAACACUGACACUGAGGAGCGAAAGCCAGGGGAGCAAACGGG
rnacentral:rRNA from 1 species